rnacentral:snRNA from 1 species
AAAAGAGAGAGAGAAGAGAAGG